rnacentral:tRNA from 4 species
GCCCCGUUCGUCUAGAGGCCUAGGACGCCGGCCUCUCACGCCGGUAACACGGGUUCGAAUCCCGUACGGGGUAC